GCCGGGCGCGGUGGCGCGCGCCUGUAAUCCCAGCUACUCGGGAGGCUGAGGCUGGAGGAUCGCUUGAGCUCAGGAGUUCUGGGCUGCAGUGCGCUAUGCCGAUCGGGUGUCCGCACUAAGUUCGGCAUCAAUAUGGUGACCUCCCGGGAGCGGGGGACCACCAGGUUGCCUAAGGAGGGGUGAACCGGCCCAGGUCGGAAACGGAGCAGGUCAAAAACUCCCGUGCUGAUCAGUAGUGGGAUCGCGCCUGUGAAUAGCCACUGUACUCCAGCCUGAGACAAAAAAAAAAAAAAAAAGUUAU
rnacentral:SRP_RNA from 1 species